GAGGGGAUGAAAGGAAGGAGUAACAAAAGUGAAAACAAUUUUAAAUAGAUUUCAACUUUUUAUUUUUGUUUUCACUUUUGUUACCCCUCCCUUCCAUCCUCUC
rnacentral:miRNA from 1 species